rnacentral:rRNA from 1 species
GAGCUAUCAAUCUGUCAAUCCUUCCAGUGUCCGGGCCUGGUGAGAUUUCCCGUGUUGAGUCAAAUUAAGCCACAGGCUCCACUCCUGGUGGUGCCCUUCCGUCAAUUCCUUUAAGUUUCAGCUUUGCAACCAUACUUCCCCUGGAACCCAAAUGCUUUGGUUUCCCGGAAGCUUCCUGCCCAGUCUACAGUAAAAACGCAGGCAGAUCGCUAGCUGGCAUCGUUUAUGGUUAGAACUAGGGCGGUAUCUGAUCGCCUUCGAACCUCUAACUUUCGUUCUUGAUUAAUGAAAACACUCUUGGCAAAUGCUUUCGCAGUAGUUAGUCUUCAAACGGUCCAAGAAUUUCACCUCUGUCGUUUGAAUACUAAUGCCCCCAAUUGUCCCUAUUAAUCAUUAACUCGAUUCCCGAAAACCAACAAAAUAGGAACGAGUUCCUAUUCCAUUAUUCCAUGCACGAAUAUUCAAGCCUGAAAAGCCUGCUUUGAGCACUCUAAUUUUUUCAAAGUAAACCUGACGGCGCACCGGGACACUCAACGAAGAGCACCCCGGAACCUCCGCCAAUCACACAGCCAAAUGGGGCAGUCACGCUUUGGAGCGAACCGCCCCCUGGCUGCCGAGAUCCAACUACGAGCUUUUUAACCGCAACAACUUUAAUAUACGCUAUUGGAGCUGGAAU